AAAAUAGGAUCAUAUAAUAUAGAAUAAAUAAAACAAUUUAAUCAGUACAAUAUAAACAAUUUCCCAACUAAUAAAGUACAGUAAUGGAACAACCAACUAAUCAAAGUAGUUUUAUAAAACGUACCUUGUGCAUUAUGGUUUUACAAGAACCAAAUUAAAAUUAACCCCCGAAUUCCGAACGAGCUGCAUAAAUACUGCUAAGAGCCAACUAAUAACUGUAGCACCAAUUUUAGAAGAUAUUAAUGCAGUGGCUACAUACCACCCGCGCCGGAAAAUUGCUGGUUAUUAACAAAAAUUAUAAAUUAAGACAUGUAUAUACAUACAGUGUAAUACCAUCGAGGAUAAGCCCGAUGAUAUAAACAAUUUCAUAUAAUAUUAAAUAAAAUAUAGGCCUAAAAUCAGCCAUAUAAACCACUUCACCGCACACUAAAAAAGUCAAUAUAUAAAAUUUUAAUGUAAAAUAUAGUUAAUAACUUAAUAUAAAAAUAACCAAUUAAUCUUAUUUUGUAAAAAUUAGUAUUCAUAAAUAAAAUAAAUUUUUUUUCAAGAAAAACAAACAU
rnacentral:rRNA from 1 species